AUUGAACGCUGGCGGCAGGCCUAACACAUGCAAGUCGAGCGGAUGAAGGGAGCUUGCUCCUGGAUUCAGCGGCGGACGGGUGAGUAAUGCCUAGGAAUCUGCCUGGUAGUGGGGGAUAACGUCCGGAAACGGGCGCUAAUACCGCAUACGUCCUGCGGGAGAAAGUGGGGGGUCUUCGGACCUCACGCUAUCAGAUGAGCCUAGGUCGGAUUAGCUAGUUGGUGGGGUAAAGGCCUAACAAGGCGACGAUCCGUAACUGGUCUGAGAGGAGGAUCAGUCACUGUGGAACUGAGACGCGGCCCAGACUCCGACGGGAGGCAGCAGUGGGGAAUAUUGGACACUGGGCGAAAGCCUGAUCCAGCCAUGCCGCGUGUGUGAAGAAGGUCUUCGGAUUGGAAAGCACUUUAAGUUGGGAGGAAGGGCAGUAAGUUAAUACCUUGCUGUUUUGACGUUACCAACAGAAUAAGCACCGGCUAACUUCGU
rnacentral:rRNA from 1 species